CGUAGGGUGCGAGCGUUGUCCGGAUUUAUUGGGCGUAAAGGGCUCGUAGGUGGUUGAUCGCGUCGGAAGUGUAAUCUUGGGGCUUAAACCCUGAGCGUGCUUUCGAUACGGGUUGACUUGAGGAAGGUAGGGGAGAAUGGAAUUCCUGGUGGAGCGGUGGAAUGCGCAGAUAUCAGGAGGAACACCAGUGGCGAAGGCGGUUCUCUGGGCCUUUCCUGACGCUGAGGAGCGAAAAGCGUGGGGAGCGAACAGGCUU
rnacentral:rRNA from 1 species